rnacentral:rRNA from 1 species
CCUACGGGAGGCAGCAGUGGGGAAUAUUGGACAAUGGGGGGAACCCUGAUCCAGCCAUGCCGCGUGUGUGAAGAAGGCCCUCGGGUUGUAAAGCACUUUCAGUGAGGAAGAACGCCUGGUGGUUAAUACCCAUCAGGAAAGACAUCACUCACAGAAGAAGCACCGGCUAACUCCGGGCCAGCAGCCGCGGUAAUACGGAGGGUGCGAGCGUUAAUCGGAAUUACUGGGCGUAAAGCGCGCGUAGGUGGCUUGAUAAGCCGGUUGUGAAAGCCCCGGGCUCAACCUGGGAACGGCAUCCGGAACUGUCAAGCUAGAGUGCAGGAGAGGAAGGUAGAAUUCCCGGUGUAGCGGUGAAAUGCGUAGAGAUCGGGAGGAAUACCAGUGGCGAAGGCGGCCUUCUGGACUGACACUGACACUGAGGUGCGAAAGCGUGGGUAGCAAACAGGAUUAGAUACCCGGGUAGUC